CUUGGUUAUGGUGAUAUGGUUCCGGCGACAAUAAUGGGUAAAGUAGUCGGCGGUGUUUGUUCAUUAAGUGGUGUACUGGUUAUAGCACUUCCAGUUCCGGUAAGUUUACCAAAA
rfam:Ascaris lumbricoides genome assembly, scaffold: ALTE_scaffold0003240